rnacentral:rRNA from 1 species
CGGCGGACGGGUGAGUAACGCGUGGGUAACCUACCCUGUACACACGGAUAACAUACCGAAAGGUAUGCUAAUACGGGAUAAUAUAUUUGAGAGGCAUCUCUUGAAUAUCAAAGGUGAGCCAGUACAGGAUGGACCCGCGUCUGAUUAGCUAGUUGGUAAGGUAACGGCUUACCAAGGCGACGAUCAGUAGCCGACCUGAGAGGGUGAUCGGCCACAUUGGAACUGAAACACGGUCCAA